GACGAACGCUGGCGGCGUGCUUAACACAUGCAAGUCGAACGGAAAGGCCCUGCUUUUGUGGGGUGCUCGAGUGGCGAACGGGUGAGUAACACGUGAGUAACCUGCCCUUGACUUUGGGAUAACUUCAGGAAACUGGGGCUAAUACCGGAUAGGAGCUCCUGCUGCAUGGUGGGGGUUGGAAAGUUUCGGCGGUUGGGGAUGGACUCGCGGCUUAUCAGCUUGUUGGUGGGGUAGUGGCUUACCAAGGCUUUGACGGGUAGCCGGCCUGAGAGGGUGACCGGCCACAUUGGGACUGAGAUACGGCCCAGACUCCUACGGGAGGCAGCAGUGGGGAAUAUUGCACAAUGGGCGGAAGCCUGAUGCAGCAACGCCGCGUGCGGGAUGACGGCCUUCGGGUUGUAAACCGCUUUCGCCUGUGACGAAGCGUGAGUGACGGUAAUGGGUAAAGAAGCACCGGCUAACUACGUGCCAGCAGCCGCGGUGAUACGUAGGGUGCGAGCGUUGUCCGGAUUUAUUGGGCGUAAAGGGCUCGUAGGUGGUUGAUCGCGUCGGAAGUGUAAUCUUGGGGCUUAACCCUGAGCGUGCUUUCGAUACGGGUUGACUUGAGGAAGGUAGGGGAGAAUGGAAUUCCUGGUGGAGCGGUGGAAUGCGCAGAUAUCAGGAGGAACACCAGUGGCGAAGGCGGUUCUCUGGGCCUUUCCUGACGCUGAGGAGCGAAAGCGUGGGGAGCGAACAGGCUUAGAUACCCUGGUAGUCCACGCUGUAAACGGUGGGUACUAGGUGUGGGGUCCAUUCCACGGGUUCCGUGCCGUAGCUAACGCUUUAAGUACCCCGCCUGGGGAGUACGGCCGCAAGGCUAAAACUCAAAGGAAUUGACGGGGCCCCGCACAAGCGACGGAGCAUGCGGAUUAAUUCGAUGCAACGCGUAGAACCUUACCUGGGUUUGACAUGGAUCGGGAGUGCUCAGAGAUGGGUGUGCCUCUUUUGGGGUCGGUUCACAGGUGGUGCAUGGCUGUCGUCAGCUCGUGUCGUGAGAUGUUGGGUUAAGUCCCGCAACGAGCGCAACCCUUGUUCACUGUUGCCAGCACGUUAUGGUGGGGACUCAGUGGAGACCGCCGGGGUCAACUCGGAGGAAGGUGGGGAUGACGUCAAGUCAUCAUGCCCCUUAUGUCCAGGGCUUCACGCAUGCUACAAUGGCUGGUACAGAGAGUGGCGAGCCUGUGAGGGUGAGCGAAUCUCGGAAAGUCGGUCUCAGUUCGGAUUGGGGUCUGCAACUCGACCUCAUGAAGUCGGAGUCGCUAGUAAUCGCAGAUCAGCAACGCUGCGGUGAAUACGUUCCCGGGGCU
rnacentral:rRNA from 1 species